CACACACAGAGGGGUCCCGUCUGUCCCCAGACGCUGGUCCCUGCCCAUUUCCCCGCCUGCCGUCCAGCUGAGCCUCUGGGCUGCACCCCAAGAACGCCCCGUCGGCGAGAGACCCCAGCAGCGCAGAUGGUCAGCCCCCAGGGAGGCAGGGUUUCACGCCUGUUGGUGGCGCAGCGGGGACACAGCCCAGGCCCGGAAUGAGGCACUAUUACUAAGCCCAUUUGGCAGAUGACAAAACUGAGGUGUAGAGAGGCCUGGCUGCAGCGUCUGCCUAGGUGGCCAUGACUGUUGUGCUGCUUAGGGAGUAUGAGGACAACUGUGGACAGACAGACUCUGGCCACAUGCUGAGUGUGAGUAGCCAACAGUGACCAAGAUGGACAGAGUCCCCUGGCCUCUUGAUGUGGUGAGGACAGAGGUUAUAUACUUUUAUGAUCUGUGCUCUGGUCUGAAUGUUUGUGUUCCCCCAAAGGGCAUAUAUUGAAACCUAAGCCCCCCUAUCCCCCUCACAUCCCCAAUCCCCCCAUACCACCCUGUGUGAUGGAUGAGGAGGCAGGGCCUUUGGGAGAUGAUCAGUGAUUAGAUGAAGUUAUGGGGCUGGAGACUCCGUGAUGGGGUUAAUGCCAAGAGGAAGAGACAGGAGCUCUCUCUCUCUCUCUUUCUCUGCCUGCAUACACCAGAGAAAGGCCAUGUGAGGACAUAAGCAGGAGCAGGGCCCUCACCAAGAUCUUGGCUGUCCUGGCACCCUGAUCUCACGCUUCCACCCUCCAGGAUCAUGAGAAAGAAAUGUUUGUUGUUUAAGCCACCCAGUCUGCAGUAUUUUUACAGCAGCCUGAGCUGACUCAAUCAGGUUGUGGUAACUGCUCUGGGGGGGGGAAAAAAAACAGGGACCAGAAAAGGAGCUCAAAGGUGGGGGUGGGGUGGAUUUUGAGCACCGUCAGCCUGCGGGAAUGACAUUUGAAUAAAUUCCUGAAGGACGUCCAGGAGGAGCCAGCCAUGCAGACAUCUCAAGGAUGGAGAGAGCUAGGCAGGCAGGGGGAACUGUAAGAGCAAAGGUCCUGGGGUGGGAUUGCACAUGUUGGGUUUGAGAAGGGAGACAGGUGUGGCUGCAGGGAGGUGCAGUGAGGGGAGAAUGGAGGGAAAGCCAGGGAGGUGACUGUCUUUUUGAGCCUUGUUCACAUCCCACACUCUUAUCCGAAUCCUCAUCCUAUUUCCUUUAGUGGGCUGAGGAUAGUGCCUUUGGGCUGGCCAUUAGGGGCCAUCCUCUCUGCCAUUCACAGGGUGGCUACACUGUCACUCGCCUUUGAGGUUGUGGUCGGUUUUUUUCUGAGCCCUGACUGUGCCUCAAAUGCCAUCCUAAAGCCCUUUACCCGGAUGAGCUCAGCUCGUCUUCCUAACAUUCCUGAGUCAGACGCAAUGAACAUUUUUUUUUACAGCUUUAUUGAAGUAUAACUGACAUACAACAAACCACACACAUUUCGAGUGUACAAUCCGAUGAGUUUUCAUAUCCUGGAAACCAGCACCACCAUCAAGAUUCUAAACAUUUCCACCACCUCGAAAAGUAUAUUCUAGCCUUUUUUUUUAAUCCCUCCCUCUAGCGUCUCCCCACCCCACCCCCAGACACCCCGAAACUGAUCAGAGAUGAGACUGCAUUUUCUGGAGUUUUAGGUACACGAGACCAGAAAGGGUAUAUACUCUUUUUUAAUCUGGCCUCUUUGCCUCCGCAGAAUGAUCACGAAGAUUCGUCUGUGUUGUGUUUGAGCCCCUUCUGCUCCUUAGGAAACUGAGGCACAGAGAGAGGUCCGCCGGGAGGGCGGACCGAGGGCCCGGGGUGGGGGUGCGGGCGUGAGGAGGAGGAGGUGUCACACAGGCCCGGCCCCAGAGCCAGGCGAGUCCCGGGCGCGCCGGCCGCCGA